rnacentral:rRNA from 1 species
UAGCCUUUCGAAAGAAAGAUUAAUACCCGAUAGCAUAAUGAUUCCGCAUGGUUUCAUUAUUAAAGGAUUCCGGUAAAGGAUGGGGAUGCGUUCCAUUAGGUUGUUGGUGAGGUAACGGCCCACCAAGCCUUCGAUGGAUAGGGGUUCUGAGAGGAAGGUCCCCCACAUUGGAACUGAGACACGGUCCAAACUCCUACGGGAGGCAGCAGUGAGGAAUAUUGGUCAAUGGGCGCUAGCCUGAACCAGCCAAGUAGCGUGAAGGAUGAAGGCUCUAUGGGUCGUAAACUUCUUUUAUAUAAGAAUAAAGUGCAGUAUGUAUACUGUUUUGUAUGUAUUAUAUGAAUAAGGAUCGGCUAACUCCGUGCCAGCAGCCGCGGUAAUACGGAGGAUCCGAGCGUUAUCCGGAUUUAUUGGGUUUAAAGGGAGCGUAGGUGGACUGGUAAGUCAGUUGUGAAAGUUUGCGGCUCAACCGUAAAAUUGCAGUUGAUACUGUCAGUCUUGAGUACAGUAGAGGUGGGCGGAAUUCGUGGUGUAGCGGUGAAAUGCUUAGAUAUCACGAAGAACUCCGAUUGCGAAGGCAGCUCACUGGACUGCAACUGACACUGAUGCUCCAAAGUGUGGGUAUCAGACAAGAUUAGAUACCCUGGUAGUCCACACAGUAAACGAUGAAUACUCGCUGUUUGCGAUAUACAGUAAGCGGCCAAGCGAAAGCAUUAAGUAUUCCACCUGGGGAGUACGCCGGCAACGGUGAAACUCAAAGGAAUUGACGGGGGCCCGCACAAGCGGAGGAACAUGUGGUUUAAUUCGAUGAUACGCGAGGAACCUUACCCGGGCUUAAAUUGCAGUGGAAUGAUGUGGAAACAUGUCAGUGAGCAAUCACCGCUGUGAAGGUGCUGCAUGGUUGUCGUCAGCUCGUGCCGUGAGGUGUCGGCUUAAGUGCCAUAACGAGCGCAACCCUUAUCUUCAGUUACUAACAGGUCAUGCUGAGGACUCUGGAGAGACUGCCGUCGUAAGAUGUGAGGAAGGUGGGGAUGACGUCAAAUCAGCACGGCCCUUACGUCCGGGGCUACACACGUGUUACAAUGGGGGGUACAGAAGGCAGCUAGCGGGUGACCGUAUGCUAAUCCCAAAAUCCUCUCUCAGUUCGGAUCGAAGUCUGCAACCCGACUUCGUGAAGCUGGAUUCGCUAGUAAUCGCGCAUCAGCCACGGCGCGGUGAAUACGUUCCCGGGCCUUGUACACACCGCCCGUCAAGCCAUGGGAGCCGGGGGUACCUGAAGUACGUAACCGCAAGGAUCGUCCUAGGGUAAAACUGGUA